AGCAGUGGGGAUAUUGGACAAUGGGGGGAACCCUGAUCCAGCCAUGCCGCGUGUGUGAAGAAGGCCUUAUGGUUGUAAAGCACUUUAAGCGAGGAGGAGGCUACUUUAGUUAAUACCUAGAGAUAGUGGACGUUACUCGCAAAAUAAGCACCGGCUAACUCUGUGCCAGCAGCCGCGGUAAUACAGAGGGUGCGAGCGUUAAUCGGAUUUACUGGGCGUAAAGCGUGCGUAGGCGGCUUAUUAAGUCGGAUGUGAAAUCCCCGAGCUUAACUUGGGAAUUGCAUUCGAUACUGGUGAGCUAGAGUAUGGGAGAGGAUGGUAGAAUUCCAGGUGUAGCGGUGAAAUGCGUAGAGAUCUGGAGGAAUACCGAUGGCGAAGGCAGCCAUCUGGCCUAAUACUGACGCUGAGGUACGAAAGCAUGGGGAGCAAACAGGAUUAGAUACCCUGGUAGUCCAUGCCGUAAACGAUGUCUACUAGCCGUUGGGGCCUUUGAGGCUUUAGUGGCGCAGCUAACGCGAUAAGUAGACCGCCUGGGGAGUACGGUCGCAAGACUAAAACUCAAAUGAAUUGACGGGGGCCCGCCAC
rnacentral:rRNA from 1 species